rnacentral:rRNA from 1 species
CUCCGGGUGAUCCCGCCGGACCCGACUGCUAUCAGAGUGGGACUAGGCCAUGCGAGUCAACAUAGCAAUAUGUGGCAUACGGCUCAGUAACACGUAGUCAACAUGCCCAGGGGACGUGGAUAACCUCGGGAAACUGAGGAUAAACCGCGAUAGGUCAUCACUUCUGGAAUGGGUAAUGACUUAAAUCUAUAUGGCCCCUGGAUUGGACUGCGGCCGAUCAGGCUGUUGGUGAGGUAAUGGCCCACCAAACCUGUAACCGGUACGGGCUCUGAGAGGAGGAGCCCGGAGAUGGGCACUGAGACAAGGGCCCAGGCCCUAUGGGGCGCAGCAGGCGCGAAACCUCUGCAAUAGGCGAAAGCUUGACAGGGUUACUCUGAGUGAUUUCCGUUAAGGAGAUCUUUUGGCACCUCUAAAAAUGGUGCAGAAUAAGGGGUGGGCAAGUCUGGUGUCAGCCGCCGCGGUAAUACCAGCACCCCGAGUGGUCGGGACGUUUAUUGGGCCUAAAGCAUCCGUAGCCGGUUCUACAAGUCUUCCGUUAAAUCCACCUGCUUAACAGAUGGGCUGCGGAAGAUACUAUAGAGCUAGGAGGCGGGAGAGGCAAGCGGUACUCGAUGGGUAGGGGUAAAAUCCGUUGAUCCAUUGAAGACCACCAGUGGCGAAGGCGGCUUGCCAGAACGCGCUCGACGGUGAGGGAUGAAAGCUGGGGGAGCAAACCGGAUUAGAUACCCGGGUAGUCCCAGCUGUAAACGAUGCAGACUCGGUGAUGAGUUGGCUUAUUGCUAACUCAGUGCCGCAGGGAAGCCGUUAAGUUUGCCGCCUGGGGAGUACGGUCGCAAGACUGAAACUUAAAGGAAUUGGGCGGGGAGCA